CCUCAGAAUGUGAAGACAGUUUGUGAGUCUCUUUUGAAGCUAAUGACAUUAGGGAAUGUGAUGGUCACAGUAAAUUGCCUUCAAGCCAUGCACAAGUUGUUCUCAGCAUCACCACAUGAUGGAACCCUCAGUAAACAACUUAAUGCUCAGCUUAUCAAUGCGCUUUAUGACUAUCAACCCAAUGUAAGUGAUAGCAAUCUGUCCCAGGCGUGGAUAUCAACUAUGGAGAAAGCUUACAUUAAUCUUGGAAGGUAUGGAAA